AUUGUGUGACGUUCACGUGUGGCGGAGGCGGUCGAGGAAGAUCAAUGAUUCCGCGAGACCGCGAGUCAACCGCCGAAGCGUACUACGUGUUCUCGGAAAAUCGGAAUAUACACGAAUACGGUUUUCGGACGAUCUCGUCUAGACGUAAAGGCAGUGAGACACACGCACUGUGGGCACGCGCUCGAGGUAUAUCGGGAGACCUCGACGCGCGCACGCGUUUGGAUGCCUUGAUUCUUGGACCCAAAGAAUACGACGAACACGUAGCAGACUAGUUGCUCGUGCAACAUUGAUCAGACAUUACGAGCGGCGGCGGCGGCGACGGCGGCGGCGGCGGCGGAGGCGGUCGUCGGAAGAAGAAGCGGAAGGGUGAUGUACGAUUACCGACACACCAAAGAUAAAUAUUCAUUUAUUAUGUGGAAGAGACGUGACCGGUUAGCUGGGAAAUUAAGGUAAGACGUCCGGGAUGCAUCUGCGGCGUGUGUGUUUUUGCAUGGUCGAUGUGUGCCGAGGCCGGAAACGAGAUAAAUGAGCAACGUUGCACAUCAGAAAUGCAGCGGCAACAAAACGCUCCGUAGAAGGAGAGAUUCGAUCGCGGGACGAAACACCAUUUUGAAGCGGACUCGAGAUUCGGCUUAUCGGGGAACGUUCGUUGCAGGUGUAGUUGUUUUUCAAUCGCGCGCGAGAGAGACACGCCUAUCAAUCUCCAUACAUAUUCGAUUAUCAAAUUGUUACCUUGUAAUCUAAUCGGAUCUUUCGUGCCGCCUACUUUAUCGUACUAUGCACUAUCUUCAAAACGAUCGAUUUAUAACUACGGCCGACAGCUACUUUGUUCUCCACGCGAUACAGCGGGACAGCUUUUCGCAACAGGUUUGCCAAAGAGAUUUUGCAUCGAGGCGACGAGAUCGUAUCGGCCGCACUCGUUUCCCGAUACUAUCCGAUACCAGAAGCAAAAUUUCGCGGAGAAUCGCGGAAACGGGAAAUAUGCGACGAGGGAUUACGCCCGAAAUAUCGUCCGAAUCAGCGCGCCGAGAGAGAAGAGACUCUCGCUCAUUACGGCGCGUUAAUCAAAUCUCGCUCUCCCUCUCCCUCUCUCUCUCUCUCUCUCCCUCGGGAGACGCAGGGAGAAUAGUCAGUCGCGUGAGUGCAUGCCGUCCAGGAUGCGGUUCUCGGCCCCUAACCUACCCCAUUCGUUAACCCGAGCCGAGUGCACGAUUCCCCGAGUGCGCUGCAGAUCGAUUCGCUUCGAGCAUGGAUUAACCUACAUAACGGGCAGAGGCACUCGUGCGGAGUCGCAUACAUCGGGGCGAUCAUCGGUACAAAAUUAACCCGCCUGUAUCCCCCCCUGACUCCCCCCGGGCCUCCCAUCGCCAUCCCCUUUCUCACCCUUUCUCCGUUCCUCCUCCUGAUUAUCGCGUCGUCCGCACGCCCUCCUCACUCGGCGCCGCAGUUCAUUGCUCCGUAUCGCGCGCACGGGAGGAGAGGCGCAUAUUAUAUAUGAAUAUUCCUCGUCUCUCCGCAGCCUCUUCUCGUACCGAAGAAAACUUUCGGUACGUCCGCGCGGGCGAGAUACACGCGACAGCGCACGGGGGGGGGGGUUACUCCCCCCGGAAUGAAAAUCUCUCGCUCCGAGCUCCAUACGUCCCAGGUCCUCUAUAACGCAAUCUGAUUUCAAUCCGAUUACACGCUUCCUUUUUCCUCAAAACGCUUGCGAGCUCUGAAACCUCGUCUGAAUCCUCCUCACAAUUCGCCCGUUAGAUUUCACCCCUCGCGCGACGUGCAGCAAAGGAUCGCGUUUCAUCCGAGUUCAUUGAAUGUUUGCCUUUCGAUUUUGUAUACAAAAUUUCGUUACAGAAAUUGGAGUGUUACAGAUACAAACCGCAAAUUCUUUCGCGACCUAAAAGAGAGAGAGAGAGAGAGAGAGAUUUUAUCUCCGGCGCGGCGGCGAGGCGAGUGAGAUCGGGACGGGCGAUGCGCGGACAGGAGCGUGUCAAACGCCGGGAAAACGAUUUCCGCGUCCCGGCGCCCUUCGCGCAAUCCUCUCCCCCGUGAACCGGCAAAUUCCCGUUUUCCCGGCGUGAGAGGGAAACGCUCGCCGUCUUGCGGCAGCGCGUCUGGAAAACGAACGUGUCGCGCGAGCGGGCACGGCGACGUCGAAGAAGAGGAGAAAGUCGAUAUGAGUUCGCGACGACGACGCGAGUGCAUGUCCCCCGGUCGUCAAGAGAGAGACAGGGGCAUUUUCUAUUAUUCGCUUUCUCCUCGCUUCCUUCCCCCGCGUUUACCGAAGACCGAGAUUAUUCUCCGAUGCGCGGAUGACGCGAUCGCUUCUCGGUACGUAAAUCGUCUGUAUAGAUCUUUACGAGGAUUGACGAUCGGUUGACUUAUGCGACAGUAGAGCGUACGUGGGCGAUCCCAUCGAUCAUGAUCUAGGAUCGUUAAAUUGGGGGGAGGGGAGGAGCGGAGGGAGGAGGAUUUGAUAUCGUUAGCGCGGUCUCGCCUCGAUAAUUACGAUGGUUUAUAGACGCCGGGUGAACGGUCGGGAUAUACGCGACCGAUCCGCGGAAUCGCGGGUACGAAUCAAAACUUGUGUGUGCGCUCUAUUUGUAAUCUGUCGCAAAUUCGCGUGAACUAAUUUAUAUGUAAAUCAAGCUGUAUUAUCGUCAUAUCGCGAAUAUAACGUGGUUUCGAUGAUGAAAUACCAACGAGAGACAAAUCGAUGAGAUGUUAUAGUACGAAUUGUGUUACAUUCUUUGUUGCAGCCAUAUGAAAAAAAAAACCCAGCUGUGGCUGGCACUAUCAUGAGUCGCGUUGACUUUUUUUUUUUUUAAUCAAGUAUUUGUAGGAUAUUUUAUUUGGGAGAAAUGUUGUUCAAAAUUAUGUACGCACAUUGAUAUAUUAUGAAUUAUAUCAACUUUGAAUUUUUCCUUCCAAUUGUUCAAAUUGUUUCUCAUACUCUGUUACAAAUUGUGUGAUUACAUUGGUUUAUCAUUGAUGUACAUCCAAUUUAAAAAAAAAGAUAAACGUGAACAUGGAAGGAACGAUUCUGCUGAAAUAUUUAA
rnacentral:lncRNA from 1 species